UGGGGAAUAUUGCACAAUGGGGGAAACCCUGAUGCAGCGACGCCGCGUGAGUGAAGAAGUAUUUCGGUAUGUAAAGCUCUAUCAGCAGGGACGAUAAUGACGGUACCUGACUAAGAAGCCCCGGCUAACUACGUGCCAGCAGCCGCGGUAAUACGUAGGGGGCAAGCGUUAUCCGGAUUUACUGGGUGUAAAGGGAGCGUAGACGGUUAGGUAAGUCAGAUGUGAAAGCCCAGGGCUCAACCCUGGGACUGCAUUUGAAACUAUGUAACUAGAGUGCAGGAGAGGUAAGUGGAAUUCCUAGUGUAGCGGUGAAAUGCGUAGAUAUUAGGAGGAACACCAGUGGCGAAGGCGGCUUACUGGACUGUAACUGACGUUGAGGCUCGAAAGCGUGGGGAGCAAACAGGAUUAGAUACCCCCGUAGUCC
rnacentral:rRNA from 1 species